GGCCACCUUCGGGGGGCUUAAACAUAGGCGGACACCCUGGCAUUCAGGCCCCGCCGUUAGCAAACGGAAGACAGAAA
rfam:Roseovarius pacificus strain DSM 29589 genome assembly, contig: Ga0131109_101